CUUGAUAAUUUUGCAUAUCGCAAAAACCGAAUUCAAUAAUUGUUUUAUUAUACAUUUGUUUGUGUUACAGUCAAAAUACAAGAACCUUCCCGCUUCUGUAACUUGUUUUGUAUUUAUUUGUUCUAUUUUCUGUAGCGAUUACCGCUUUAUCGGCACAUAUCGCGUUAGGAUCCGGUAGAAUUUCGCUUUCCUUCCUUUAUAUACGUCAAUUUGUAGCAAUGGAUACACCUUUCGUUAGAUUCUUUGCAUAAAAGUUGCGAAACUUAGAUCUUAUAGCGAUAUUUGCUGAUAAAUCGGUUUUAAACCGCCGCCUAGUGUGUUCAUACUAUACAAAUUUAAAACAAGUUACCGAAUACAAUCAUUUGACG